rnacentral:rRNA from 1 species
CCUACGGGAGGCAGCAGUGAGGAAUAUUGGUCAAUGGGCGCGAGCCUGAACCAGCCAAGUCGCGUGAAGGAUGACUGCCCUACGGGUUGUAAACUUCUUUUAUAAAGGAAUAAAGUGAGACACGUGUGCCUUUUUGUAUGUAUUUUAUGAAUAAGGAUCGGCUAACUCCGUGUCAGCAGCCGCGGUAAUACGGAGGAUCCGAGCGUUAGCCGGAUUUAUUGGGUUUAAAGGGAGCGUAGAUGGGUUGUUAAGUCAGUUGUGAAAGUUUGCGGCUCAACCGUAAAAUUGCAAUUGAUACUGGCAGCCUUGAGUACAGUUGAGGUAGGCGGAAUUCGUGGUGUAGCGGUGAAAUGCUUAGAUAUCACGAAGAACUCCGAUUGCGAAGGCAGCUUACUAAACUGCCACUGACAUUGAGGCACGAAAGUGUGGGGAUCAAACAGGAUUAGAUACCCUGGUAGUC